UACGAAGGGUGCAAGCGUUACUCGGAAUUACUGGGCGUAAAGCGUGCGUAGGUGGUUCGUUAAGUCUGAUGUGAAAGCCCUGGGCUCAACCUGGGAAUGGCAUUGGAAACUGGCGACCUAGAGUGCGGUAGAGGGUAGUGGAAUUCCCGGUGUAGCAGUGAAAUGCGUAGAGAUCGGGAGGAACAUCCGUGGCGAAGGCGACUACCUGGACCAGCACUGACACUGAGGCACGAAAGCGUGGGGAUCAAACAGG
rnacentral:rRNA from 1 species